CAGGGGCCACUCGGGUCAGGAAAGAUGUGGACACUCACCAUGGAUCGUGGGCUGAGCUGGCUGCUCCUCCUGGCUCUUCUAGGGGGUGUCCGGUGUGAGGAGAAGCUGGUGGAGUCUGGGGGAGAUUUGGUGCAGCCUGGGGGAUCUCUCAGACUCUCCUGUGUAACCUCGGGAUUCACCUUCAGCAACUGCUACAUAAACUGGGUCCGCCAGGCCCUAGGGAAGGGGCUACAGUGGGUUGCAAGAAUUUAUGCUGAUGGUGGUAGCAUAUACUACGCGGACUCCGUGAAGGGCCGAUUCACCAUCUCCAGCGACAAAGCCAAGAACACAGUUUAUCUGCAGAUGAACAGCCUGAAGCCCGAGGACACGGCCGUGUAUUUCUGUGCGAGAGAGGCACAGUGA